UUUAUUUUAAUUUUAAUGUUAUUUUAAUAUAAAUACAUUGCUUCACUCGCUCAUACACACGUGACUAUAUGCGUCUUAUCCCAGUCGGCAAUUUUAGUGCCCCAUAGAUCAAGUCAACGGUCAAAGGGUAUAAAAAGUUGAAUUUUAUUAAAUUGAGGGGUCUAGAUGACAAACAUAUAAGUAGGAGUAUCCACAUUAUAAAAAUAUAUAAUACAAGG
rnacentral:lncRNA from 1 species